rnacentral:rRNA from 1 species
UACGAAGGGGGCUAGCGUUGUUCGGAAUCACUGGGCGUAAAGCGCUCGGUAGGCGGAUCUUUAAGUCAGAAGGUGAAAUCCCAAAGGCUCAACCUUGGAACUGCCUUUGAUACUGGGGAUCUUCGAGUCCGGGAGAGGUGAGAUGGAACUGCGAGUGUAGAGGUGAAAUUCGUAGAUAUUCGCAAGAACACCAGUGGCGAAGGCGGCUCACUGGCCCGGUACUGACGCUGAGGAGCGAAGCGUGGGGAGCAAACAGG